rnacentral:pre_miRNA from 1 species
ACAACAUUCGGACCGUCGGUCUACCGCUCGGUGGAAGAUCUUUCCUUUCGUCGU